AAUUUUCAUUUGGGGAAUGUCAUUUUUUUAUACUUUGUCAUCAAUUUGCUACUUUAAUCAUUUGCUGGUUUAAUAACUUUCAAUUCAUCCUAUUUUUUUAAUGCUGCGGACGCAUUAGUACAAUAUCAAUUUAUGGAAAGAAAACUGUUUAAAAAAAGUUAAGGGAUAAGAACAAACAAUCUUAAUAAUAUUAACUUUUGCUGGUUUUAAUAAUUGAUAUUCAGAGAUUGGGUUCUUUGAAGACAUCUUCGGAGCACAUUUGGGGAUUUGAUUUAUUCCUUCUCAUCUCAGCGAAAGGAUAUAGGAUUGGAAAUUAAAUGAGUUGAUAUUUUGUGGAAUCCUUUUUUUAUACAGGCAUAUAUGCCAAUUGAAAUUAAAGUUCCUCUGAUGUUAGAGGACCUGAAAUGCUGAUUAGUUAGCAUAGUUCACCCUCGGCUCGUACAAGCGGAUUCUCUUCGGGUCUGCUGCUCCAUCCAGCUGGCCGCCUUGCGCUGGGUCCACUUUCCUUUGGCCCACAGUCACCAUCUCAGCAGCGGGGACCCAACUGGCAAUUUUGCGGGCACAUUGUGCACACUGGCCCGGAUCCCGCGGCUGAUUAGUUGGUGUGGCGGGGAGGAGGGUGUCGGGGGGGGGGCGUCUAGAAGAGGGUGUCCUGUGGCACUGGCUGAGUGAGACGCUUAUGUUUCCAGGGACACAAAUCUCUUGGCUUGUCUGGCUGUUUGACAAAGACAAAGUGUGAUCAUUCAAAGACAUGUUGGUUGCGGAACCAGAUUAGAGAACCAAAAAAAAAGACUUGUGACAUCUUUAGUCUGUUUCCAGGUUAAAUAUGGCUCCUAUUCAGGGCAUCUAUAUGCAUACUUUUAUCAGACAAUGUUUUCAUUGGUUGGUGGUCAUCAGUGCUGUAGUGGUAAAAUUAGAGGUGGGUAAACUGUGAAUUUGGUGAUCAUACAGACCUCGACGCAAUGUGAAGCAACGCAACACAAAGCGUCGCGACUCUGUAAGGCUGUCCUGGCUAUAUUGCAUUAUGUUAUCAGUAAAAGUCAUAUACAAUCAAUGACAAUGAAUACAUGUGUUGGUAGUUUGUAGUUCAUUAAAUCUAUGAAAACAGUGAAGAAAAGUAUGUCAACACAACACAACAACACAAUUGCAGAUUAAGAACUAUCUACAUACGGAGUCUCCUUUUCACAGUAGUGCCCUGAGGGCCUCCUUGUCCUCCACGUCAGGUGCUGCCUUCUCUCUCUCCUCUCUCUAUUGGACCUGGUGUUUCUCCUCUCCCUGUGCUCUCUGCAUCAUUGGCUGUCCUCUCACUGCCUGAACAAAUAUGUUGAAUUUAAGAGUUAAGCAGCCUGUCAAUUACACUGACAACAUAAAUUAAAGGAACACUCAUGUACUACCUAUGUCAUCAUAAAUAGCCUAUACAGCAUGUUUUUUUUUCACAUUGAGAACUGACUUGUUUUCUAAUCUACGCGUCACCAGGCGUUUUUCUUUUGCCGUGCACGACCAGCGAACACAGAGCGCGCGACUACUACCCCCCUCCCCCGUCGGUCGUUCCGCCCGCAACGACUACACGCCCCCCCCGUCGGACCUUCUCGACCGGUCCGCGAAAUAUUGUCUGACAUGAAACCGGUCCGUGAGGUAAGAAAGGUUGGGGACCACUGGGCUGAUCCACAGCGUGUGUUUACACACCUCCUGGAUCCUGAUUGGUGUCGCUGCUGCAGCCGCAAGGCAUUGAUUGGAUGCUCACAGACCGUAAUACAGCGCAGAUGAACAUGAUUCAGACUACGGCGUUUAUAUGUUCAACAAUAGGAAACGUAGUCUUAGCUGUUUUAAAAUUACACCAAGUUUAUUUCGGAUUAUUCCAACGGAAGAAUACAAGGCGCAGGUAACUUUGAGGUGCGUAAACGCUAUUUCCAAAAUUCCAGAGGUGCGUAAACGGCGUUUACGUGCGUUUACCCUCCACUACAGCCCUGGUGGUCAUCUGAAAAUAAGAAGGGUUGAGUUUUCUUGAGCUUAGAAUGAGCCGUUUGAAUUCAAACAAGGCCGGGAGAAGGUCCUGUUAGUCGCAAUCUGCAGCCUCGCCGCUAGAUGUCGCCAAAUCGUGCAUCCUGGACCUUAGCCAGCCUUAUUUAAAAAUGGAUUUGGUCAUCUAGAUUUGUCAAAUUUUCAAUCUGGGAAAGGGUUAAUAAAAAGGCUGUAUAGUUUACUUUGCUGCUAGGAGUUACUAAGUCAAAAUAUUGAGACAUUUUUUGUAUUAUUUUUGAGGUAUUGGAUAAUUAUUCUUGGAUGCCACGUCAAUAUUUCAAGACCCUCAGUCAAAACGUAGAAAACAAGUCAUUAUUUUGAGACGCCAUGUCACUUUAAUGAGAUUUUGAGAUCAGUGUCAAAAAUAAUAACUAUCACAACAUUUUGAACUUAUUGUUUUGAGGUAAAAAGUCAAAAUGUUGUAAACGC
ensembl:lncRNA